rnacentral:rRNA from 1 species
AACGAACGCUGGCGGCAUGCCUAACACAUGCAAGUCGAACGAGACCUUCGGGUCUAGUGGCGCACGGGUGCGUAACGCGUGGGAAUCUGCCCUUGGGUUCGGAAUAACAGUGAGAAAUUACUGCUAAUACCGGAUGAUGUCUUCGGACCAAAGAUUUAUCGCCCAGGGAUGAGCCCGCGUAGGAUUAGCUAGUUGGUGGGGUAAUGGCCUACCAAGGCGACGAUCCUUAGCUGGUCUGAGAGGAUGAUCAGCCACACUGGGACUGAGACACGGCCCAGACUCCUACGGGAGGCAGCAGUGGGGAAUAUUGGACAAUGGGCGAAAGCCUGAUCCAGCAAUGCCGCGUGAGUGAUGAAGGCCUUAGGGUUGUAAAGCUCUUUUACCCGGGAUGAUAAUGACAGUACCGGGAGAAUAAGCUCCGGCUAACUCCGUGCCAGCCGCCGCCGUAAUAC